AUUGAACGCUGGCGGCAGGCCUAACACAUGCAAGUCGAGCGGAUGAGAAGAGCUUGCUCUUCGAUUCAGCGGCGGACGGGUGAGUAAUGCCUAGGAAUCUGCCUGGUAGUGGGGGACAACGUUUCGAAAGGAACGCUAAUACCGCAUACGUCCUACGGGAGAAAGCAGGGGACCUUCGGGCCUUGCGCUAGCAGAUGAGCCUAGGUCGGAGUAGCUAGUUGGUGAGGUAAUGGCUCACUAAGGCGACGAUCCGUAACUGGUCUGAGAGGAUGAUCAGUCACACUGGAACUGAGACACGGUCCAGACUCCUACGGGAGGCAGCAGUGGGGAAUAUUGGACAAUGGGCGAAAGCCUGAUCCAGCCAUGCCGCGUGUGUGAAGAAGGUCUUCGGAUUGUAAAGCACUUUAAGUUGGGAGGAAGGGCAGUAGUUAAUACCUUGCUGUUUUGACGUUACCGACAGAAUAAGCACCGGCUAACUCUGUGCCAGCAGCCGCCGUAAGAC
rnacentral:rRNA from 1 species